CAGUCGCCGCGGGAAUACGUAGGUGGCGAGCGUUGUCCGGAAUUAUUGGGCGUAAAGGGAGCGCAGGCGGACAUAUAAGUCCAUCUUAAAAGUGCGGGGCUCAACCCCGUGAGGGGAUGGAAACUGUAUGCCUUGAGUGCAGGAGAGGAAAGCGGAAUUCCCAGUGUAGCGGUGAAAUGCGUAGAUAUUGGGAGGAACACCAGUGGCGAAGGCGGCUUUCUGGACUGUAACUGACGCUGAGGCUCGAAAGCCAGGGGAGCGAACGGGAUUAGAUACCCCCGUAGUCCCUGUCUCUUAUACC
rnacentral:rRNA from 1 species